AUGCCGGUGAGAAAUCAGCUCACAGGCCACUGUGGGUGCACUUUUUCGCAAGGCAGGUUAACAUCGGUUUCUGUUGCGUCAUAAUAAUUGUAGGAAGGUGGCUCCUUCGGGAGUGUUAUAGCCUACUUUAGAUGUCGCGACGGGGACUGAGGAUUGCAGCGGAUGCCUUUGGCUACGGGUCUUGUCUCUGUCGAUCUUUAAUUAGCUUUCAGCUUGCUGAGAUCUGGUUGAUAGGUUUACAAUAGGUUUGAUUUCGUUAAA
rnacentral:rRNA from 1 species